AGUGAACGCUGGCGGUAGGCCUAACACAUGCAAGUCGAACGGCAGCACAGUAAGAGCUUGCUCUUACGGGUGGCGAGUGGCGGACGGGUGAGGAAUACAUCGGAAUCUACUUUUUCGUGGGGGAUAACGUAGGGAAACUUACGCUAAUACCGCAUACGACCUACGGGUGAAAGCAGGGGAUCUUCGGACCUUGCGCGAUUGAAUGAGCCGAUGUCGGAUUAGCUAGUUGGCGGGGUAAAGGCCCACCAAGGUGACGAUCCGUAGCUGGUCUGAGAGGAUGAUCAGCCACACUGGAACUGAGACACGGUCCAGACUCCUACGGGAGGCAGCAGUGGGGAAUAUUGGACAAUGGGCGCAAGCCUGAUCCAGCCAUACCGCGUGGGUGAAGAAGGCCUUCGGGUUGUAAAGCCCUUUUGUUGGGAAAGAAAAGCAGCAGGUUAAUACCCCGCUGUUCUGACGGUACCCAAAGAAUAAGCACCGGCUAACUU
rnacentral:rRNA from 1 species